AGUGUUAGGGUAAAUAACCAAGGUAAUUUGGGACUUUUUUUUUAAUAUAAAUUUUUAUAUAAAUAUGAAGAACUAAAAGUGCAUCUCCAACAAUUGAAAACUGAGAUUCAGUAUAAUAAGUAUCUCUAAAAGUAUUAAGAAUUACUAGAAAUUGAAAAGAUGAAAUUUUUCUAUUUAAUAUCAUUUUUUAUUGUUAUGCUUUACUUUACUGAAGCAACAAUUGCUAGAGAGGACGAUUCACAACUUGAACAAAAUGAUCCAGAUUUGAGAGUUAAACGUCAAAUUUUUUCAUUAUGUUCAUCAUAUGAUUGUGGUAGAUCCUGUCGUUACACUGGUAAAUUAGGUGGAUUUUGUAUAGGAAAUAGAUGCUCAUGUUAUUAAGAAAUUUUCUUCUAUAUUAAUAUUAUAUAUAAAAUACCAUAUAAUUAUAAAAUAUUAAAUGUAAUCAAAUGUAUGUACUGUAAAAUGAAAAUACUUAAAAAUAUACCAAAAAUAUUCAAAAUUCUGUAAAACAUUAAAUAAUUUGAUAUAUUGUAAAGAAGACUACUAUAGUUCCACAAGAGCUGUAUUAUUUGAAAAUUCUAACCAGGGCAGUGAUGUAGCUAUAUAUAUUCGUAAUAUAAUAAAAUAAUAAUUAAUUACCAAAAAAAUUGGAAAAUAUACAUUAAAAAAUACAAUUAAUUAAAAUUAAAUUUAAAAUUCAUGGAAAUCUUAUUAUUUUCAAUAUAAUUAUGGAUUUUCCCUUUAAAAAUUUUUAAUGAAAAUACUUGAGUGAAAUUUUUGAUGAUGAGAAAUUCUUAAAAUUAUUCUUGAAUAAUAUUUAAAGAAUUUAAGAAGAUCAAUAAAAUGAAUUUCCAUUUCCUACUUAAAGUUCAAUUGAUUUUAUUGUUUUCAAAUAUGUUGUAAAUAAAUACAUAUAUAUAUAUAUAU